rnacentral:rRNA from 1 species
AGAGGGGCGCUUUUAUUAGAUCAAAGCCAACUUGAAAUUGGUGGUGACUCUGGAUAACUUUGUGCCGAUCGCAUCAGCCCUCGUGGCUGGCGACGUAUCCUUCAAGUGUCUGACCUAUCAAGUUUCGAUGGUGCGAGCUGUGCCCACCAUGCUGUUAACGGGUAACGGGGAAUCAGGGUUCGAUUCCGGAGAGGGAGCCUGCGAAACGGCUACCACAUCCAAGGAGGGCAGCAGGCGCGCAAAUUACCCAUUGCUCACCUGAGCGAGGUAGUGACGAGAAAUAACAAUAUCGCGGCCCAACGUGGUUGUGAUAAUUGGAAUGAGCACACUUUAAAUCCUUUGAAUCGAGGAUCUACUGGAGGGCGAGUCUGGUGCCAGCAGCCGCGGUAAUUCCAGCUCCAGCAGCGUAUACUAGAGUUGUUGCAGUUAAAAAGCUCGUAGUUGGAAGUCGACCCGUCGGGGCGGUUCUGUUUCGCGACAGUCUAACUGCCUGCCGACGGGGAUGUCGCCGGUGUGUGCGCAAGCACAUGGCUGGAGGGCGGGGGCGUGGUGCGCAAGUGCCGCGUCUUUCGUUUU